GGGUUGUGAGGUUAAGCGACUAAGCGUACACGGUGGAUGCCCUGGCAGUCAGAGGCGAUGAAGGACGUGCUAAUCUGCGAUAAGCGUCGGUGAGGUGAUAUGAACCGUUAUAACCGGCGAUUUCCGAAUGGGGAAACCCAGUGUGUUUCGACACACUAUCAUUAACUGAAUCCAUAGGUUAAUGAGGCGAACCGGGGGAACUGAAACAUCUAAGUACCCCGAGGAAAAGAAAUCAACCGAGAUUCCCCCAGUAGCGGCGAGCGAACGGGGAGGAGCCCAGAGCCUGAAUCAGUGUGUGUGUUAGUGGAAGUGUCUGGAAAGGCGCGCGAUACAGGGUGACAGCCCCGUACACAAAAAUGCACAUGCUGUGAGCUCGAUGAGUAGGGCGGGACACGUGGUAUCCUGUCUGAAUAUGGGGGGACCAUCCUCCAAGGCUAAAUACUCCUGACUGACCGAUAGUGAACCAGUACCGUGAGGGAAAGGCGAAAAGAACCCCGGCGAGGGGAGUGAAAAAGAACCUGAAACCGUGUACGUACAAGCAGUGGGAGCCUCUUAAUGGGGUGACUGCGUACCUUUUGUAUAAUGGGUCAGCGACUUAUAUUCUGUAGCAAGGUUAACCGAAUAGGGGAGCCGAAGGGAAACCGAGUCUUAACUGGGCGUUAAGUUGCAGGGUAUAGACCCGAAACCCGGUGAUCUAGCCAUGGGCAGGUUGAAGGUUGGGUAACACUAACUGGAGGACCGAACCGACUAAUGUUGAAAAAUUAGCGGAUGACUUGUGGCUGGGGGUGAAAGGCCAAUCAAACCGGGAGAUAGCUGGUUCUCCCCGAAAGCUAUUUAGGUAGCGCCUCGUGAAUUCAUCUCCGGGGGUAGAGCACUGUUUCGGCAAGGGGGUCAUCCCGACUUACCAACCCGAUGCAAACUGCGAAUACCGGAGAAUGUUAUCACGGGAGACACACGGCGGGUGCUAACGUCCGUCGUGAAGAGGGAAACAACCCAGACCGCCAGCUAAGGUCCCAAAGUCAUGGUUAAGUGGGAAACGAUGUGGGAAGGCCCAGACAGCCAGGAUGUUGGCUUAGAAGCAGCCAUCAUUUAAAGAAAGCGUAAUAGCUCACUGGUCGAGUCGGCCUGCGCGGAAGAUGUAACGGGGCUAAACCAUGCACCGAAGCUGCGGCAGCGACGCUUAUG
rnacentral:rRNA from 1 species